GACGAACGCUGGCGGCGUGCUUAACACAUGCAAGUCGAACGGAAAGGCCCUGCUUUUGUGGGGUGCUCGAGUGGCGAACGGGUGAGUAACACGUGAGUAACCUGCCCUUGACUUUGGGAUAACUUUAGGAAACUGGGGCUAAUACCGGAUAGGAGCUCCUGCUGCAUGGUGGGGGUUGGAAAGUUUCGGCGGUUGGGGAUGGACUCGCGGCUUAUCAGCUUGUUGGUGGGGUAGUGGCUUACCAAGGCUUUGACGGGUAGCCGGCCUGAGAGGGUGACCGGCCACAUUGGGACUGAGAUAAGGCCCAGACUCCUACGGGAGGCAGCAGUGGGGAAUAUUGCACAAUGGGCGGAAGCCUGAUGCAGCAACGCCGCGUGCGGGAUGACGGCCUUCGGGUUGUAAACCGCUUUCGCCUGUGACGAAGCGUGAGUGACGGUAAUGGGUAAAGAAGCACCGGCUAACUACGUG
rnacentral:rRNA from 1 species